GCUGGGCGUGGUGGCACCUGCCUGUAAUCCCAGCUACUCGGGAAGCUGAGGUGGGGGAAUCGCUUGAACCCAGGAAAUGGAGGUUGCAGUGAGCCGAGAUCACACCACUGCACUCCAGCCUGGGUGACAGAGCGAGACUCCAUCUCAA
ensembl:misc_RNA Metazoa_SRP Metazoan signal recognition particle RNA